GGGAACUACCUCUUGGAUUCGUGUCUCUUAGUUAAGAAGACGGUAUAUACCCAUCUCCCAGAUAUUCAUGCCCAUGUAAAAUCUAGAACUGCGAGUCUCCUGGGAUUCUCCAGAAGCUGAGGCCAUCAUAAAGAAGGUCUCUUUCUCAAGAACUUCAGAUCAAAGCCUAUGAAUACCAGAAACAAUUAACUGCCACCUCUGUCUUUAUGGCUUUCAUUUUUCUUGUCAUGACUAUCAUUUUCUCUCUGUGUUGGUUUAGGAAUUUUGAUUGUAAAAAUGAAAUUCUUUAAGGUUUUUCCUCUAAUAAUGCUAUUUUGGGUAAGUCAGUAUUACACAAACCUAUUAAUAUCAAACCUCCCUUUCUAGAGACUCGGCUGGGUGGGGAGGGGAUCUGUUCUGUAGAUCCCAGGUCAGGCUGGGUCUUGGUUAACAGACAUUACUGGUUAUUCUCAUGUUUAUACUUGUCUUAAUUGGUCAUUUGUUCUGUUUUCUUCAGGGGUUCAAAUGCUUCUAUGCAGCCACUCACUCAGCAAAUGAUUAUAUAACUAGCUACAAAUAAAAUCAUCACAAGACGCUUUGAUGGCAGUCAUCAAUAGCCAGACUGAGGCUGCUCUUGGAGUGGUGUAGAUCAGGAGUUCUGAAGCCAACAACAACAGCAAGAUAUGGUCAACCGAUGAGACUCAGCAUCUCUGCGGGACAAGAUGUGAGACUGUGACUGGGCUCUGCAUGGUGUGGCUCAUUAAUCUCAUACCUUAGUAUUCGCUUCUGCAGGUUUGUGCAGCAGUCCACAGUUGUCGAGGAAGGAAGAAGAGUACAGCCUUAAGUUGAAGAAGGACAUGUUUGCUUCCCUUUCUGCCGAGAUUAUAAGUUUCCUGAGGCCUCCCCAGCCAAGUGGAACUAAGUUUUUACCAUCCUCCGAUGACAGAAAUAAUGUCUUAUUCAAGUUGAUCAAGCCUGUGUUCUCCCAGGACUUUGCAAAAUGCUUCCUGUAUGGUAAGUACUCAAUAAAUGUUUAUUAAAUGGAAUAUUAAAGGUAAUCAGAAUGAUACUACUGUUCUGAUAACCUCAAAUAGUCCCAUAUCCAACCUUUCCCUCUUGAGAAGCUUUCCAGGAAUUCUCCAGUCCACGUGAUGCUCUCUCUUUCCAUCACUCUGUCAGCAUUUUAUAACUCUGCUUCAUAAAUGCAAUCUAAUACUUCAUGAGUAUUACAUUUUCAGCUUAUCCAGGGCUCAGUCUCUGACACAUUUUUUCCCUUUGGCGUCCUUAUGACUGUCUGGCAUAGCGCUCUCCCUAUAGUCCAAGUCAAUAGAACUUAGAGGUUGAUUACUAAGCUGGACUCCAGCAGAUUUUUUACUGAGUCAAAAUGGCAAUCAAAUGUUCCUGUUGAACAAGUGAGAAAAUAUCUCUAAUAGGUGAGGGAAAAAAAUCAGAGAAAGUAAACUCCAGUGGAUUGUUGCUCAUUAUUUUGGCCAUUCACUUGUAAGCUUUUGGGGGAAAAUCAUUAACAAUUUCAACAGUGCGAGGUGUGUUAUUUUGUUUGUUUCAAGAAGAAGCAAAGCAGAACGAUUUUUUUUUUAAACAACGAUAAAAACCCCCAUAUGGAUUGAUAUGGAAAGUUCCCUGAUACUACAAGGUACUAGAAAAAUACAUCGGAAGCCUUCAGCUACAGCUAGCAACAAUUUAUAAGUGCCAUUUCUUUCAUCUAUUUGACAGAUUAUCUCAAGAGACAUAGUUCUUUAGUCAGCCAGUUUGGAAAGCUGUUAAAAGUAUGGCAGACAUCCUGCUUGCUUUAAAUUAAUUUUUAUACAUGCUGAAACCAGAUAUUGCUAUAUACUUUGCUACUUAGGAAAUAAUUUAUUUGUAAUGAGUGAUUUGUUGUCACCUUUGCCUUAAUCAUUUUGAAGAAGAUUAAUAUUAGAUUAUUCCGAAU
rnacentral:lncRNA from 1 species